rnacentral:rRNA from 1 species
UACGGAGGGGGUUAGCGUUGUUCGGAAUUACUGGGCGUAAAGCGCAAGUAGGCGGAUUGAUAAGUUGGGGGUGAAAUCCCGGGGCUCAACCCUGGAACUGCCUCCAAAACUAUCAGUCUUGAGUUCGAGAGAGGUGAGUGGAAUUCCGAGUGUAGAGGUGAAAUUCGUAGAUAUUCGGAGGAACACGAGUGGCGAAGGCGGCUCACUGGCUCGAUACUGACGCUGAGGUGCGAAAGCGUGGGGAGCAAACAGG